rnacentral:rRNA from 1 species
UACAGAGGUGGCAAGCGUUGUUCGGAUUUACUGGGCGUAAAGGGCGCGUAGGCGGCCAGCACAAGUCAGUUGUGAAAUCUCCGAGCUUAACUCGGAAAGGUCAACUGAUACUGUGCGGCUAGAGUGCGGAAGGGGCAACUGGAAUUCUUGGUGUAGCGGUGAAAUGCGUAGAUAUCAAGAGGAACACCUGCGGCGAAGGCGGGUUGCUGGGCCGACACUGACGCUGAGGCGCGAAAGCUAGGGGAGCGAACGGG